rnacentral:rRNA from 1 species
GACGAACGCUGGCGGCGUGCUUAACACAUGUAAGUCGAACGGAAAGGCCCCUUUGGGGGUCCUCGAGUGGCGAACGGGUGAGUAACACGUGAGUAACCUGCCCUUGACUUCGGGAUAACUUCAGGAAACUGGGGCUAAUACCGGAUAGGAAUCCUUGCUGCAUGGUGGGGGUUGGAAAGCUUCGGCGGUUUUGGAUGGACUCGCGGCUUAUCAGCUUGUUGGUGGGGUAGUGGCUUACCAAGGCUUUGACGGGUAGCCGGCCUGAGAGGGCGACCGGCCACAUUGGGACUGAGAUACGGCCCAGACUCCUACGGGAGGCAGCAGUGGGGAAUAUUGCACAAUGGGCGGAAGCCUGAUGCAGCAACGCCGCGUGCGGGAUGACGGCCUUCGGGUUGUAAACCGCUUUCAGCAGGGGCGAAGCUUGUGGUGACGGUACCUGCAGAAGAAGCACCGGCUAACUACGUG